GCAGGUCAGGGUACAGUAUCUGACUGCAAUCAAUAUGCACUUAAAUGUUUGGAUCAUCUAAACCUCCACUUAGCACAAAGGAUCUCCAGAGAGAACUUUCUUCAGAGCAGAGAAAUUACUAUUCCAGAGCUCUGGAGGAGGAGCCUGAAGAUGGAGAGCAAAGGACAGGAAUGAAUGUGAGUCCUCUAGAGACAGUAACCCCAACCCAUUUGGAACAGGAACUCAAGACACAGAAAGGCCAAGUAAUUUGUCCAACUUCAUAUGCUAGACUGGAAGAAGGAGCCCAGCCUCAAGUCAGGAAAAGGAGGAAAGAGAACACCUGACAUUUGCCACUGAGGUGGAAUAAAGGAAUCGUCUUCGUCUUUACAGUUUUAGAAAUGAAGAAAUGAAUCUUAGAGAGCUUAAAGUGAGUCGUCCAAAGAAGCACAACUAGUAAUUGGAAGAUCGGUUAUGUCAACUAAGGCCUAUCUGACCUCAGAGUCCACUGCCUCAGACACACAAUGUCAUAAUGAAUGCUACUCCAUGGAGGAAAUUAUGUGGAUAAAGAGAAAUGAUCUGGCUAAGCAUGUUUUGAACGGUUAUAAAUUCAUAUUCACAUAUGUUGUGAUAUAUGCACAUACGUAUAUAUAAAUGUAGAUAUACGAGAUAUAUAUGGAUAUAUGGAUAUAUAGAUAGACCCCCAUUUAGCACUGUCCCAUGCAACCCAGAUUAGUUCUAACAUUAUUUAGUUCUAAAUCAAUUUCUUGAUACCAGUGGUUUUU
rnacentral:lncRNA from 1 species